AUACUUAUCUGGCAGGGGAGAUAAAAUGAUCACGAAGGUGGGUUUCCCAGGGUGAGGCUUAUUCAUUGCACUCUAGAUGUGGUCACCCCUGUGAUUUUCCCAAAUGUGGGAAACUCAACUGCAUAAUUUGUGGUAGUGAAAGACUGUGUUUGCACUUUCCCAUA
rfam:Callithrix jacchus chromosome 3, whole genome shotgun sequence